AUGGACGCAAGUCUGAACCAGCCAUGCCGCGUGAAGGAUGAAGGUCCUCUGGAUUGUAAACUUCUUUUAUCUGGGACGAAAACGGGAUUUUUAUCUCAAUUGACGGUACCAGAGGAAUAAGCACCGGCUACCUCCGUGCCAGCAGCCGCGGUAAUACGGAGGGUGCGAGCGUUAUCCGGAUUUACUGGGUUUAAAGGGUGCGUAGGUGGGCUUAUAAGUCAGUGGUGAAAUCUCCGAGCUUAACUUGGAAACUGCCGUUGAUACUAUAGGUCUUGAAUUAUCGGGAGGUAAGCGGAAUAUGUCAUGUAGCGGCGUAAUGCUUAGAUAUGACAUAGAACACCAAUUGCGAAGGCAGCUUACUACAUAUAAAUCGACGCUGAGGCACGAAAGCGUGG
rnacentral:rRNA from 1 species